AUACUUACCUGACGAGGACCAUACUGGGAUCAGGCAGCCAGUGGGUCCAGGGCGAGGCUUUGCCAUUGCACAUCGGCUUAACUGACCCUUGCG
rnacentral:snRNA from 10 species